UUUUCCCUUAGCAAGUGGAAGGUGUGCAGGCAGAGAUGAGAUCGGUGUGUGCUCAGUUCUUUUAUUUCAGACUUUUUUUAGCAUAAGUCAAGCAGCUUUGAAUAAUUCUCCUUUGACUCAUUAACUGUCAAAAGCAAAUGUAGAUGGGAGGCAUAAAACUGUUUCUUUCAGAAAAGAAGAAUAUAGCUGCAAUAUAGUCUUUCUCCAUAUGGAAGCAUCCUUAAGAAGAAUCCAGGCUUAUACAUAAGCAGGCGCUGACACAUUACAUGAUGUAUUUAUAAUAAGACAGGGAAAUAUAUAGAGAACAUUUCAGUUGCCUAAACAUGAAGUGCCAUUUGAGAUAUGGUUGACUCAUCUCAUCUCCUGGUACCUCACCAGGUCUCCAGCUUGUGACCCAGGGGAGUUUUGUCAUAUCUUGUGUAAACGUACCACCUGUCCUAGGAUAUCUCAAACAGCACAAGAUACUUACGCUUAGACUCAUCUACAUGAGGUAAGCCCAGGUAGGUGAAAAUAGCAUAAAGUUUGUUCCUAGCUGGUUGAAAUACAACCUCUAGAGACACAUUAGGCCUGAAGGUUGCAUUAAAAGUCCUUGUGCACAAAGUGCUAGUUUUAGAAUCCUAAUCUGUAAUUUUUUAUAAAAUGUGAAUGAUGGAAUAAAAGUUAUGCUUAUUACAUUUUCAGACUAUGCCUCAUGGAAGAUACUGUGAGCAUUUUGGAGUGGAUGGUGGUAAAUGAGUGCUUAAAAUGGAGAAGGCAAGCUUUCUCCCUGACUUCUGCAUGUGCUGCUGCGGUUUGGGAAGGAGAUGGCAACCAACAGAGGUGAGCAAUAGAAAGGCUGAUUUUCUUAAAAUCUUGGGGGGGAGGGUGUGGAGGGGGCGGUUGGAAUUCACCUGAGGGUGCUGGCGCAGUGACUCUGAGGCUGCUGUCUGUCAUUUAUCAAAACUCAUGACGGUGAGGGAGUCAGGGAAGCCAGACUGGGUACCCCCACCCCAUCCUGCAUUCGCAAUGGAUGGCUUUCUUGGCAAGGGUUUGCUCUCGUCUCCUUGCGUGGAUCCUCAACUGAGCGAUUUAGUACCAUGAAUAAUAAUUUCUUGUGGUUCUUUUCUUCCCCCAAGCCCACGUAUUGCUCUUUGGAUUUUUCAGUGACUCAUUUCUAAUAGACCAAGACUGUUGGAGUUACAGUUUAGUGACAAGAUAUGUGAGUUUUGGUUGAUUUCUCCUAACACAGGUAGGUCUAGGAAAUGUUAUCUUUUGAAGGGAGAGACUGGAUUUUUGCCUUCACAGGCUCUUUACAGUGAUCCUAAUUAGAUCCUUCCUUAGAAUUAGCAGACUGCUACAACAAUUGAGUAGCCCAAACUGGAAUAGAUUUUACUUUUUAACAUGCAAGUUGAACAUCAGAUGUGGGGUGUUUCUGAUGUAAUCUGGGCCUUAUGGAGGCAAGGAGCGAUUGUUAGCUGAGUUGGAUUAUUUGAAUUAAUAGAUCUUAUGCACACUUUAAAAUUUCUUAUGGCUUCUUUCACACUUACCUGGAAAGCCUUAUCCAGGCCACUUGAACAGCAUCACAAAAUCUUUUUGUGGCAU
rnacentral:lncRNA from 1 species